rnacentral:tRNA from 1 species
AGGAUAGUAGUUAAAUAUAACAUUUGAAUUGCACUCAAAAAGUAUUGAAUUUUCAAUCUAUCUUG